GUCUUCUCAGUGAGUUCCUUUCUGUCGCUCUGUGGCAGUUUGUGGAUUCGCACGAGAGAGAGAGAGAGAGAGAGUUCACAGAGCUAGCGUUAUUUUGCCUCCUGUCUUCAGAGGUGUAUUCUGUUUUGUGAGACAUUC